AGUCUGGUGCCAGCAGCCGCGGUAAUUCCAGCUCCAAUAGCGUAUAUUAAAGUUGUUGCGUCUAAAAAGCUCGUAGUUUGAAAACUUGCCUUGGCUUACAACAGACGUCUAAGGGCGUCACCGUUUGUCGAGAGCAAAUAUGGGUGACUGUUCUUGCCUUCUUCUCUGAUUGGCUCGUAAAAGUCAUCGAAGAUCACUUUGAUUAAAUUAGGGUGCUCAAAGCAAGUGUGCUACUUGAAUAUGAAUGCAUGGAAUGAUGGAAUAUGUUGUUGUUCUAUUUGUUGGUUUUUUGAAUGACGAAAUGAUUGAAAGGAACUGUUGGGGGCAUUCGUAUUGUUGUGAGAGAGGUGAAAUUCUUAGACCAUAGCAAGACGAACUACUGCGAAAGCAUUUGCCAAGAAUGUUUUCAUUGAUCAAGAACGAAAGUUAGAGGUUCGAAGGCGAUCAGAUACCGCCCUAGUUCUAACCAUAAACUAUGCCGACUAGCAAUUUGCUUUGUAUUUUUAUGACUAAGUGAGAGGCCACGGGAAACCAAAGUAGGGUUAUGGGGGAAGUAUGGUUGCAAAGCUGAAACUUAAAGGAAUUGACGGAAGGGCACCACCAGGAGUGGAGCCUGCGGCUUAAUUUGACCCAACACGGGAAAACUUACCUGGUCCUGACACUAGAAGGAUUGACAGAUUGAUAGCUCUUUCUUGAUUUGGUGGAUGGUGGUGCAUGGCCGUUCUUAGUUGGUGGAGUGAUUUGUCUGGUUAAUUCCGAUAACGAACGAGACUCUAGCCUAUUAAAUAAUAUGCGGAAUCAAUUUCUCCCGCGUUAUUUCUUAAUGGGAUCAAGCGUGUUUAACGCUUUGAAACAGAGCAAUAACAGGUCUGUGAUGCCCUUAGAUGUUCGGGGCUGCACGCGCGCUACAUUGAAGAACAAAGUGAGCCCUCUGGCUUUUAACAAAGCUAGAAAUCUUUUAAUGUUCUUCUUAAUGGGGAUAGGGGAUUGCAAUUGUGCCCCUUGAACGAGGAAUUCCCAGUAAGUGCUAGUCAUUAGCUAGUACUGAUUACGUCCCUGCCCUUUGUACACACCGCCCGUCGCUACUACCGAUUGAAUAGUUUAGUGAGAUCAUCUGAGUGUUUGUAUGUGCAUUCUGUGCUUGUAUGGUGUACGAAGAAGAUCAAACUUGAUUAUUUAGAGGAAGUAAAAGUCGUAACAAGGUUUCCGUAGGUGAACCUGCGGAAG
rnacentral:rRNA from 1 species